UACGUAGGGUGCGAGCGUUGUCCGGAAUUAUUGGGCGUAAAGGGCUCGUAGGCGGUCUGUCACGUCGGGAGUGAAAACUCAGGGCUUAACCCUGAGCCUGCUUCCGAUACGGGCAGACUAGAGGUAUGCAGGGGAGAACGGAAUUCCUGGUGUAGCGGUGAAAUGCGUAGAUAUCUGGAGGAACACCGGUGGCGAAGGCGGCAUCCUGGACCAAUACUGACGCUGAGGAGCGAAAGCCAGGGGAGCAAACGGG
rnacentral:rRNA from 1 species